rnacentral:rRNA from 1 species
UACAGAGACUGCAAGCGUUAUUCGGAUUCAUUGGGCGUAAAGGGUGCGUAGGCGGCGCGGUAAGUCGGGUGUGAAAUCUCGGGGCUUAACUCCGAAACUGCAUUCGAUACUGCCGUGCUUGAGGACUGGAGAGGAGACUGGAAUUUACGGUGUAGCGGUGAAAUGCGUAGAUAUCGUAAGGAAGACCAGUGGCGAAGGCGGGUCUCUGGACAGUUCCUGACGCUGAGGCACGAAGGCCAGGGGAGCAAACGGG